AUGCAGACUGGGCUGGCAAUCUGGAUGACAGGCGAUCCACGGGGGGGUUAUGCUGUCUUCUUUGGCUCUAACCUGAUUGCCUGGAGUGCUCGGAAACAGGCUACUGUCUCGCGUAGCAGUACUGAGGCUGAGUAUAAGGCUGUGGCCAAUGCCACAUCAGAGAUCAUCUGGGUACAGUCCUUGCUUCAGGAGUUAAGUAUACCCCAAUCACAGCCUCCUGUUCUUUGGUGUGAUAACAUUGGUGCUACAUACGUUUCUGCAAAUCCGGUAUUCCAUGCCCGAACGACACACAUUGAAGUUGACUAUCACUUUGUGCGUGAACGUGUCUCUCAGAAGCAACUACAGAUCAAGUUUAUUUCUUCCAAGGAUCAACUUGCUGACAUCUUCACCAAGUCAUUGCCUUUGCCACAGUUUGAGACUUGCAGGUGCAAUCUUACCCUUCUAGAUUCAUUAGAAAGUGGCUAA
rnacentral:rRNA from 1 species